GCCGGAGUGGCGGAAUGGUAUACGCAGCGGUCUAGAAAACCGUGGCCUGUCCAGGGAUUGCGGGUUCAAAUCCCGCCUCCGGUACCA
rnacentral:tRNA from 1 species